UGAACGCUGGCGGCGUGCCUAAUACAUGCAAGUCGAGCGAACGGACGAGAAGCUUGCUUCUCUGAUGUUAGCGGCGGACGGGUGAGUAACACGUGGAUAACCUACCUAUAAGACUGGGAUAACUUCGGGAAACCGGAGCUAAUACCGGAUAAUAUUUUGAACCGCAUGGUUCAAAAGUAAAAGACGGUCUUGCUGUCACUUAUAGAUGGAUCCGCGCUGCAUUAGCUAGUUGGUAAGGUAACGGCUUACCAAGGCAACGAUGCAUAGCCGACCUGAGAGGGUGAUCGACCACACUGGAACUGAGACACGGUCCAGACUACUACGGGAGGCAGCAGUAGGGAAUCUUCCGCAAUGGGCGAAAGCCUGACGGAGCAACGCCGCGUGAGUGAUGAAGGUCUUCGGAUCGUAAAACUCUGUUAUUAGGGAAGAACAUAUGUGUAAGUAACUGUGCACAUCUUGACGGUACCUAAUCAGAAAGCCACGGCUAACUACGUG
rnacentral:rRNA from 1 species